rnacentral:rRNA from 1 species
CCUACGGGUGGCAGCAGUGGGGAAUAUUGGACAAUGGGGGCAACCCUGAUCCAGCGAUGCCGCGUGUGUGAAGAAGGCCUGAGGGUUGUAAAGCACUUUAGUAGGGGAGGAGUAUUAUCUGGUUAAUACCUGGAUAAGAGGACGUUACCCUAAGAAUAAGCACCGGCAAACUCUGUGCCAGCAGCCGCGGUAAUACAGAGGGUGCAAGCGUUAAUCGGAUACACUGGGCGUAAAGGGUACGUAGGUUGGAAGUCCUGGGCUCAACCUGGGGAUGGCAUGGUUGACUGGUUUUCUGGAGUGCAGUAGAGGUAAGGGGAAUUUCCGGUGUAGCGGUGAAAUGCGUAGAGAUCGGGAGGAACACCUGUGGCGAAGGCGCCUUACUGGGCUGUAACUGACACUGAGGUACGAAAGCGUGGGGAGCAAACAGGAUUAGAUACCCGGGUAGUC